rnacentral:rRNA from 1 species
CAAGGGAUUCCCCUAGUAAUGGCGAAUGAAGCGGGAACAGCUCANAUUUGAAAUCUCCGUUGCUUGCAACGGCNAAUUGUAGUUUCGAGAAGCACUUUUUCGGCGGAUCCGGGCCCGUCCAAGUUGCUUGGAACAGCACGUCAUAGAGGGUGACAACCCCGUCUGUGGCGGAACCGGCCGCUUACGAUGUGCUUUCGACGAGUCGGGUUGUUUGGGAAUGCAGCCCAAAAUGGGUGGUAAACUCCAUCUAAAGCUAAAUAUUGGCACGAGACCGAUAGCGAACAAGUACCGUGAGGGAAAGAUGAAAAGCACUUUGAAAAGAGAGUUAAAAAGUACGUGAAACCGUUGAAAGGGAAACGAAUGGGGUUASCAAUGCGYUCUGCGAGAUUCAGCCGGCCGGCUGGGUCGGUCGGGCGGUGUGCGGAUCCGAAUGGACCGCUGCCGCUCCGGUUCGGCCUGCCGUCCGUCGCACUUCUCGCGAGCGSGCGCCAACGUCGGUUGGGACUGGGUCUCAAAGUCGUCGGUAAGGUAGAUCCGCCCCCUCGGGGGCUGAUUGUUAUAGACCGGCKUCGCUCAKGGCCCGGGCCCGACCGAGGAGCCGCGGSGCAUGCCUUUUUUGGCUGGGGUCCCGUCGUUCCGGUUGGUAGUCGACUGCGGUGGACUGCAUGCAGUGCGCCGCGACUGCUGCCGGUCGCGAGGGCGGUGACCUCACACCAUGCGCCCAGGAUGUUGGCGGUCACAUGGCCUCAUCCGACCCGUCUUGAAACACGGACCAAGGAGUCUAACAUGUGCGCGAGUCUUCGAGUGAUCGAAACUCCGAGGCGGAAUGAAAGUGAAGGUGGCCUCGCGCCGCUGAGGUGAGAACCUCUCCUCCGGGAGGGGCGCAUCAUCGACCGACCUAUUCUACUCUUAGGAAGGUUGAGUAAGAGCG